rnacentral:lncRNA from 1 species
GUAACAAAGACCAAAAAUGAAGGUAAAUGUUAAAAUUCGGAUAUUCUAUGCGCUUCAGUUUCCGGCUCUCAUACUUCCAUGUUUUUUCAGGAGGGAAUUGGCUUUGCCGAUUGAUCUUUAUCCAUCACCUGACGGCCACGAGUGUGGGUGGUCCAUGAGUGCCAUGAGUGCUAGAAUGUCCCAUCGCUUAGACCUCCGACUAGAAUGCGGAAUAAAAAUUAAGAAGAGAAGACAGCUAUACAGGAUGCCAGCCUUGGUAAGGUAAAACCUAAAGUAACCCCGCCAUUUAACAAUUGUUAACGAUUGUAAAGUGGCGUUAGAAAAAGAUCUCACCAUAGGUAUAAGCAACUCUUAAUUUGGCAUGGAAUGGCGCCGUUCUUAGGGCAGUAAUCAGUAAUAAUUGGGAAGUAUUAGUAUAAAAGUAUUAUUUAUUAAAAUGUAAU